AGUUUGAUCCUGGCUCAGAAUCAACGCUGGCGGCGUGCCUAACACAUGCAGGUCGAACGAGAAAGGGACUUCGGUCCUGAGUAUAGUGGCGCACGGGUGAGUAACACGUGAAUAAUCUACCUCCGAGUGGGGAAUAACCUGGAGAAAUCUAGGCUAAUACCGCAUAACACUUACGAGUCAAAGCAGCAAUGCGCUUGGAGAGGAGUUCGCGGCAGAUUAGUUAGUUGGCGGGGUAAUGGCCCACCAAGACGAUGAUCUGUAUCCGGCCUGAGAGGGCGCACGGACACACUGGAACUGAAACACGGUCCAGACUCCUACGGGAGGCAGCAGUGGGGAAUUUUGCGCAAUGGGGGAAACCCUGACGCAGCAACGCCGCGUGGAGGAUGAAGUAUCUUGGUACGUAAACUCCUUUCGAUGGGGAAGAUAAUGACGGUACCCAUAGAAGAAGCCCCGGCUAACUUCGUGCCAGCAGCCGCGGUAAUACGAGGGGGGCAAGCGUUGUUCGGAUUUUAUUGGGCGUAAAGGGUGCGUAGGCGGUUUGGCAAGUCUUAUGUGAAUCUAUGGGC
rnacentral:rRNA from 1 species